rnacentral:lncRNA from 1 species
CACGCACUGGCACGGAGCCGGCGGGACGGGGUAAGUCGCGACCGCACCCGGGUGCCGGCGGCAGGGAGUGCACGUGGUAGAGGACCCCGCGCCCCUAACCCCGCCGCCCUCGGGUACCAGAGACCGGAGGUGGCACCACGGUCGCGGGGACGCCUGGAACGCACAAGAGCCGGCGCGCAGGCCCCAGCGGGCGGCUCAAGCGGCGGGGGUGGAAACGGGCGUCCGAUUCUCGGCCAGAGCCCGGAGACCUCCCCGCACACGCAUCCAGGCACCCGGAAGCUCUCGGGCGACUGUCACCCGAGCAGAGCGUGUCAGCACUUAUCUGGCGGCACAAAACCACCCAUUCAGGGGCAAGAAUCGCCGCGCCCGGAGACGGGGCCCACCCACGGAUCACGAGGGGAACCCCUGGAUCACGGCCACGGCCACCAGACCCCAAGCACGACCCCAUCGCCACCAGGCCCGGAGCUCCCGGGGCCAUCUGGUCGACCCCAGAAGCGUGGCGGCAGGGGGAGCCGGGGACAGCCUCCCCGGGCCGCCCGCGCGGGCCGGGACCGGUCGGUCCCUCCCUCUGAGUCGCCGGGUCAGGACUUAGAAAAGAAUUCCACGGAGGAGCCUCCGGCGACCGGGCCCGGGGCGGGACCGUGGCUCCCGUCCCUCAGCCGGGGCUCCACCUACGCCUCGAGCCGGCCCCCUCCCACCUCCGGACAAAGACGCGACCCGCGAAACUCGGAGAGAGAAGUCCGGUCCGACGGCCCGGACCCACCCCGGGCACGCGUCCCGGCCGGGGACGCCCUCCCCGGCCCGCCCUCGAGGGCUCCCGGGGCCGGUCCACGCUCUUCUCCAGGGCGGGACUUGGACAAAAAACUGCCACGGAGGAGGAGGCAUCCGAGGACCGGGCCCGGUCCCCACCGCCAGAGCCGGUCGACUCGGAAGACCAGGGGGGAAAAGGCCAGCCCGGCGGCCGAGCCCGUCGCGCCCUCCACGGGCCUCCCCCGCAAGGCCCCGGCCGGUCCCCCACCUCCGGAGCGGGGCGCGGAAAGGGGAUCGGCGACGCGGAAGGCCCGACCACCGGGCCGCCCUCAGGACGACGGCCGGGCACGGGACGAGUUCCCUCGCCCGUUCCCCCGCGGCGCCCCCCACCCCUCCCGGGGACGGAGGGGCACCGGCGGCUGCUGGUCGACCCGUCCGGGAGGCCCCACACCCCGGCCGGCACCGGGCGGCGCGGCGACAGCCACCUCCCUCAGUAGCCUGCACCUCCAAUCUCCGGCGAGCGGGCGUCGCGCUCACGCCCCGGCGCCACCGGGCCAGAUCCCGCCAGCGACGCCGGCCUCCCGGGACUCUGCCUCGGUCACCGCGGCCGAGUCCCGUCCCUUGGCCCGCGUCGCCGGAGCUCCGGAGGAAAGAGACGAUAUAAAAGCGGCCGCCAGGUGGCACCCGGCGACCGGCGACCGCCUCAGCGGGACGGAGCCGGAGCGCGGGCCCGCCGGGGAGCACAGCCGGGCCGCCGGGCCGCCAGAUCCCGUCCCGGCGCCCCCUCGGACCCAGCCUCCCGGCCCAGCUCGGCCCCGGGGCGUCCGCCCGCGGGCUCGCGGCCGCCAAGGCGCAGCCCCAGCCGCAGGAGGGGACCCGGAAAAGGUUUCUCGGGCGCUCACCGGGAAGGGGACGGGGAGAGUUCCCCCAGAGAGGCCAGGGGUCGGCCCGGGCCGGGCUGAGCCGGUGCGGCCGGGAGGCCGCCGCUUCCCGGAGCGGCCGGAGCGCCCCCGGGGCUCCCGGGAGGACUUAGAAAAUCAGGGCGGGCGGGGACGGUCAAACCGAAACCAGGCACGUCAUCCGAGAAGGACCGUGAUGACGGGAGGAGGAAAGCUUUCAAGCGCAGAGGGUCUGUCGAAGGCAGGCGGAGAGUCUACCCGCUGA